rnacentral:miRNA from 1 species
UUUGGUCUUUAAUCAAGCUGA